rnacentral:tRNA from 1 species
GGGCCUUUAGCUCAGUUGGUAGAGCGCCACGUUUACACCGUGGAUGUCGUCGGUUCGAGCCCGGUAGGGCCCA